UUUUGUUGUUUUCUUUUUGCUCUGCAUUGGUCACUCUUGGAAAAGCGUAUGAGAACAUAGCUUUGUCUAAGCCAGCAUGGCAGCAGCAUCGCUACAACGUUGAGUGGGGAGCGGACAAAGCUGUUGAUGGACUGAAAUUGGAUCUGAGUGCAUCUGGAGGACAGUGUGCGAUAUCGGCAGACAUUCAGCUAACAGCAGAAUGGCGGGUAGAUCUUGGAGAAGUACUCAGUAUACACAACAUCUUUAUACAGUACAGGACGCAAAAUGUCGCAUGGGUAAACAACUUAUUAUGAGUCUUACUUUUGGAAUUGUUUUCAAUAUAGAAGGACACCUACAUUCUACAAUUAAAGGUGAAAUCAGUUACCUUACUAGUAGAUUCCUUGGAUACUCGCUUUACAUAUCAAACUCAACCAAUAAAGAUGACGGAGCCCUGUGUUUCAAGGACACCAACUAUACCAGAGAAACAAUACCCAACCCUACAAACAUAACGUGUGCCAUACAUGGGAGAUACGUCAUCUUCUACCACAACAGGACCCACCCUCCGUAUCCUGCUGGGUAUUCUGAGUACGCAUACAGCGAUCUAUGUGAAGUGGAAGUUAAUGGAUGUCCCACACCAGGAUUUUAUGGAGAGGAUUGUUCCAUACCGUGCCCCCAGAAUUGUCAGGAAGGUCACUGUCACAUCAUUAAGGGAACAUGUCUGGGUUGUAUCGAUGGAUAUUACGGAGACGACUGUUCUUUACCGUGCCCCCAGAACUGUCAGGAAGGUCACUGUGACAGCAUUGAGGGAACAUGUCUGGGUUGUAUCGAUGGAUAUAAGGGGGCAACAUGUAAUGAAGAGUGUCUCGAUCAAAAUUAUGGCCUGGAGUGUCAGCAGAUUUGUGGAAACUGUAAAAACAAAGAACCGUGUCACCACGUGAACGGAAGUUGUCUGAACGGAUGUGCCAGCGGAUAUGUUGGCAAUACAUGCAAUUUAGCAUUGGAAUCAUGUUCAAGUGGUAAUGAAUCUAAGUGUAAAACAUCAACAGUUCUUUAUGUCUCUGUGGCCAUUACAGUUCUCAGUCUAUCGCUUAAUGCAUAUUUCAUUAUCAGACAACUAAGAAACAAAAGCGUCCGUAGACAACAAAAGAACACAGAGAAUGCUGAUACACCCACUGAUAAAAGAAGCAAGGAUCUAAAACCGACAGAACAUUUUUCAACGUCAGUGUAUGACCAAGCUGAAGCCAAACCUGCCUAUCAAGAGCUAGGAGGAAUAGCUGAAGAAUAUCAAUAUGAUAAACUUUCUUGACAAGAUCUGCAUACAACGAGAGUGUAUCAUUUCAAAAACACUUUAAUAUUUGUAAAUAUGUAUAUCGCAGAUUUUCAUCGGUUAGGUCUAGAUUUGAUCGUGAAGUGCGUUAAACGAGUCAUGUAUCAGUACUUACAAUAACAGAGUCGUAUAAUAAUCUGAUAAUCAUUUACCGUAACGUUUGGUAAACUUCCCUUCUUAGAUUGUAUUUUUUUUAAUUAGAGAUGUCAAACAAAAUCAUUUUUUUUUUGUUUCAUGAUCUUACAAACAUCAAAACAAUAGGCAAAACCAUUUUGUAAAAACAGUUCUAUCCAACAUGUAAUAUGGACUGAAAUUUAUGAUAAAAAUCUGAGAGUCUAUUCUAACCAUUUUUUCAUUAUAUCAUGUGCUUCACCAAAUACUAGUACACUGAGCGAUUGUUAUGAAAAUUCUUUGAUAAUAAUGUUUUGAUGAUAUGGAUAUAAAAUAAACAAAUUCGCUUGCUUUG
rnacentral:misc_RNA from 1 species